rnacentral:rRNA from 1 species
GCAAGUCGAACGGCAGCACGGACUUCGGUCUGGUGGCGAGUGGCGAACGGGUGAGUAAUGUAUCGGAACGUGCCUAGUAGCGGGGGAUAACUACGCGAAAGCGUAGCUAAUACCGCAUACGCCCUACGGGGGAAAGCAGGGGAUCGCAAGACCUUGCACUAUUAGAGCGGCCGAUAUCGGAUUAGCUAGUUGGUGGGGUAACGGCUCACCAAGGCGACGAUCCGUAGCUGGUUUGAGAGGACGACCAGCCACACUGGGACUGAGACACGGCCCAGACUCCUACGGGAGGCAGCAGUGGGGAAUUUUGGACAAUGGGGGAAACCCUGAUCCAGCCAUCCCGCGUGUGCGAUGAAGGCCUUCGGGUUGUAAAGCACUUUUGGCAGGAAAGAAACGUUCCGGGUUAAUACCCCGGGAAACUGACGGUACCUGCAGAAUAAGCACCGGCUAACUACGUGCCAGCAGCCGCGGUAAUACGUAGGGUGCAAGCGUUAAUCGGAAUUACUGGGCGUAAAGCGUGCGCAGGCGGUUCGGAAAGAAAGAUGUGAAAUCCCAGAGCUUAACUUUGGAACUGCAUUUUUAACUACCGAGCUAGAGUGUGUCAGA